AGUACGUAAACUCUUACGUAUUAUCCGUUACGUUAGGUACGUUCCUUUCGUACGUUCCGCUGGUAAGAAACUGUACGUACGCUAAAAGAAGGAAAAUAUAAGAAAAAAAAUGCGCAAUAGCAUUCGAUUCUAUAUUCGAAAGUCUACAAAAUCUUCAGUUAAAACAAAAACAAAGUAAAAUCAAAAUGUCUUUGUAUAAGGAGUUUAUAAAUACCUUAAAUAUAUUAAUUUUCGCGCGUAGGAAAUUUCGCGAUUUGCGAAUUUUUUUGAAAAUAGAUUUUUCGCGAGUAUUAAAUUUCGUGAAUUGACAAAUUUAACCUAUUUCGCGUGUACAUAAUUUCGCGAUUUUUUAUUUUUGAUAUUUCUAAGAAAGACGAAAAAACACAAAUAAUUGGAGCAGAUGUGUAACUUUAUGUAAAUAUUCUUAAUAUUUUCUCUGGGUAUAUGAUUAAAUCACUAAAAUACAUCUUCGAAAAUAUUUCUAUGUUCUUCAUAUUCUUCUUCCCGUUCGCUGUCAACAUCACUGUCUUCAAUGUAGUGAGUCAAGCCAUCUGCUAACUGAUCUUUAUUGUUUGUGAUCGUUUCACUAAUAUCAAAUUAUCCUUCAUUACGAACCAAUGGGUCAAGCUCAUGCAAAGGAUCAAGAGCUUCUAGCUACCCAUUUUAAUUCCAUCAGUGAUACCAGCCCUUUCCCAACCUUUAAAGAUAACUUCUUUUCCUGAUGAUGAUGUCAUUUCCUUAUACAACUUAAUAAUCCAUUUCGCUUAAAGAGGUUUUAGUAUCGAUAAUUGCAAAGGUACUUUAAUACUUCCUAUCUUUGCCACUGUUAACACCAUCGGUAAUCUCAUUCGUAAACCAUUCAGUGAACAGCUUCUUUAAGUAAGCUUUGGCGUACCCGUUUACGGUCAGAUCGAGAGGGUGAAACAAAUUGGUCAUAUUGGCUGGUACUUUUGUGAAAAAUAUAUGUUUUUUUUUUAGAAGAUUCUGAACAGCAUCAGUUGUUUGACCUUUGAAAACAUUCCUGACUACCAAACCAGAAUGAUUCGCUGCUAAGCCGAGUUUCUUCCUUUCGGUUUGAAAAUACGGGAUGACGUACCAAAGUGCGGGGAUAUCAAAUCAUUUUUCAACCGAAGUCACCAUACAGUGAAAGAAAAUAAUUCAGAGCAUGCAACAUUUACAAAGGCUUGACAAUUAUGUAAAGCCAAGGAAUUUGAGAACAAAUGUACAUGCCUCACAGAUCGAAACAGACGUUGAAUCAAACAAAGAAAACGAAAGCGAUGAAAUGCCAGAGGGGAAAUUGAAUUUACGACUACAAUUGCAACCAUCGUCAAACCAAAGAUGUAUCAAAGCCUCCAAGCAACGGAAAAAGAAGAGCCAGCAAGGGUUGUACAAAAGUAGAAGAAGAGGUGGAGGUCCUUAGGUCUAUUGCUGUAGCUACGACACAGAAUGAAUACGACUUCUUUGGUGAUCAUGUGGCGAGUAAGCUACGAAAAUUAGGGAGGAUUUUAAACGAGGAUUCAAUGGUCAUGUUUACGGAGCAGCUAUUUCUUCCAAAUCAACCGUCGUUACUUCAUCCACUACACAAGAACCUGGAGCUUCUUGCAGUGUUGAUUCGAACCUGAUUGUGCAACUUGAGGUUUCUGACAAGGCUGGUAUUGACACACACAAAAACAAUUUGACGUCCUCCAAGAGCUGAAACACACUUACACCAAAUCACUAUAUCAUAGUGUGGAUAGACUGCUGUGAGAAACUCGUGAAGAUAUGGACGCAUCAAUUCAAAACCAUUUUCAGCCGAAGAUCUAUGAUCUAAAACAAAACGUGUAUAGAAUCAAAGUAAAAAAAGAUAAAAGUAAAAACGGAGGAAUUUCGUAAGUGAUAACAGCUUUAGUUUCGGUGAGCAGACUAUAGAUUUUACGUGAAAAAAAGUAAACUAUCCUAAAUUCUACCCUCUUUCUAAAAAAACAACGAUUUUUGCAGAAUAGACAGUAUAUUGAACUGAUUUACCAUCCACCUGUUUCUCAGAAAUGUAUGUGUGAGCGCUUGUGAUUUUAAGGAUUGACGAUAUUAUUGUACUUCUUGAUUUUAUGAUUAAAAAUAUUAAUUAAAUUUAAUUUAAAUUACUUAAAAUAUUAAAUUUCUUUUUCAGGUGCGUUACUAUAAAAUCUGUAAGACAUUUCUAUCACAAACGAUGGGAAAUCUGACUAAAUGAACAACAAAACAUAUUUUUAAAACCACGUUUAUCAUCUACGAACAGAAAUAUAAAGACAUACCAAAUAAGGUGUAAUCAAUAUCUAACACUAAUAAUUUUUUCCCUUCUCUCGGUGGAUUUAUUUCUUCCACUUUGUAUGUGUCAACUCUUUUUUUAAUCUUUGCAAGAAAUUCUUCUCUAAAGUAGAAGAAAAAGAUUAAGAGAUGACGAACUAAUUAAAGUCUUCUAAAUUGAAAAGCUGGACCAAUUGAUGUAGUCAAUUUUGAGAUGAUUUCGAAACUGCCUUCGAAACCUCAUUGUAUGUAAAACGUUACUUCAACCGGAGAAACACAAUACUAAAAAAAAUUUUGCGAGGUCAAAAAUUCGCGAAAUCUACUUUUUUUAUAAGAAUCGUGCAAAGCUCAAUUUCAAACAUUUUUAAAAUAUUAUAAUAUUAAAUAAUGGAGAAGUAGUUGGUGGAAGUAUAUUAAUCAGGUACCGAUGUUGUAUGGCUACUUCUUCUUCUUCAAUAUCAAAAUCAUCCACAACAUUAUUGUCUGUCACCUCUUUAGGAGGCUUGAUAACAUUCGCCUGAAAAAACAGACACUUAUUUACGAGCCAGCAGAUAACUACCAACGCCGAUUUCAAGUGGGUGUUUAUCCAUUUUAACAUGUGAAAAUAAAUUAAGCAAAUAAAGAAAUCGAAAGAACGAAAAAGAAUAUGCGAGAAGGAACAAACAACCAUAUUUACCAGUGUUUCUUCUUGUGUUCCCAUCAUCAUAAUUUUCACACCUGGUUUAAUGGAAAGUGCCAGCAAUUUCACAUCAUCGCUAGGCGGUUUUCCUGAGCGAGAAAAGAGAAAAUAAUAUGUUUAACACAGCUAUUUACAGCAUGUAAUCCAUCACCUGUGUACCUUAUAGCACUAGCUUAAAAAGACAUGGACUAUACCUUAUAGCCAUGACUAAAAACGUAUUUUUGAUUUAAUUGGUGGUAUUCAUGUUCGAAGUUUUGGUCGAAAUCAAGAAACAUAGUUAAACAAUUGCAUAUCUAUACAUACAUACCUCCUAAUUUUAAACCGAGAAGUUUUUGUCGUUCUGGUUUAACAUUUGUCUGUUUAUGUAUAACUUCUUUUAAGUCUUUCACAGUAUUUAAGGAAGCCACAUCGUCUAUAACGUACUCCUUACCACUCCACUUUAUCGUGAUGUUUAUGUUGGCAGCCAUGAUGUAUCUAAAGAGAAGUUCAUGCAUGAGAACGCUGUUUUCAGACGAGGGAGGGGAUUCUCUAUAUGGACUAUUUUGGUCACUUGAGUAUUAUAUCACGCGCUGGUCUCGU